UACGUAGGGUGCGAGCGUUGUCCGGAAUGAUUGGGCGUAAAGCGUCCGCAGGUGGCUGUGUAAGUCUGCUGUUAAAGAGUGAGGCUCAACCUCAUAAAAGCGGUGGAAACUACACGGCUAGAGUGCGUUCGGGGCAGAGGGAAUUCCUGGUGUAGCGGUGAAAUGCGUAGAUAUCAGGAAGAACACCGGUGGCGAAAGCGCUCUGCUAGGCCGCAACUGACACUGAGGGACGAAAGCUAGGGGAGCGAAUGGG
rnacentral:rRNA from 1 species